UCUAGCAUAAUUAUUCUUGUGGGGGCACAAGACAGCCUGGUAAAGGGCAGGGAGGGAGAUAAAAUAUCAGUAUAUGAGGAUAGUGUCUAAUUUGAGCUUUAACGCUUUCUAUCAAGAUGGCUGCUUUUAGGCCCACUUAAUUUGAAAUCCUUGGGUAAUAUGAUCUUGAAUCACCUGUUAAAGUUGUUUCUUUUAUCAGAAGGGCUGUACCCCUUUUGAUUAACUCCCUUAGUUUCCUUAAUCAAUUUUAGCUUAAGCAUGGGUGAUGGGGGAAGACUUAAAGGGCUGAACUUCUAUUCAUUUCUCAGGCAACCAGCUAUAACUGUGCUCGGUAGGUUUAUCACCUCUACUCAAAGCUCUUCCCACUCUUUUGCCACAGAGACGGGUUGGCCCUACAUAGGCUGUCUUGGAGUAGCUCGCUCAGUUUCGGGGUUACAAACUAAAGGUCUCUUUGCUUGUAGUUUUCUUGCUAAA
rnacentral:rRNA from 1 species